rnacentral:rRNA from 1 species
AUUGAACGCUGGCGGCAGGCCUAACACAUGCAAGUCGAGCGGAUGAAGGGAGCUUGCUCCUGGAUUCAGCGGCGGACGGGUGAGUAAUGCCUAGGAAUCUGCCUGGUAGUGGGGAUAACGUCCGGAAACGGGCGCUAAUAACGCAUAAGUCCUGAGGGAGAAAGUGGGGGAUCUUCGGACCUCACGCUAUCAGAUGAGCCUAGGUCGGAUUAGCUAGUUGGUGGGGUAAAGGCCUACCAAGGCGACGAUCCGUAACUGGUCUGAGAGGAUGAUCAGUCACACUGGAACUGAGACACGGUCCAGACUCCUACGGGAGGCAGCAGUGGGGAAUAUUGGACAAUGGGCGAAAGCCUGAUCCAGCCAUGCCGCGUGUGUGAAGAAGGUCUUCGGAUUGUAAAGCACUUUAAGUUGGGAGGAAGGGCAGUAAGUUAAUACCUUGCUGUUUUGACGUUACCAACAGAAUAAGCACCGGCUAACUUCGUG